UAGCUGUAAACGAUACUCGCUAGGUGUCGGCCACGGUGCGACCGUUGUCGGUGCCGUAGGGAAGCCGUGAAGCGAGCCACCUGGGAAGUACGGCCGCAAGGCUGAAACUUAAAGGAAUUGGCGGGGGGAGCACCACAACGGGUGGAGCUUGCGGUUUAAUUUGGAUUCAACGCCGGAAAUCUUACCGGGACCGACAGCAACAUGAAGGCCAGGCUGAAGACUUUGCCGGAUUAGCUGAGAGGAGGUGCAUGGCGUAGUCGUGU
rnacentral:rRNA from 1 species